UACGUAGGGACCAAGCGUUGUUCGGAUUUACUGGGCGUAAAGGGCGCGUAGGCGGCAAUUCAAGUCAGCUGUGAAAUCUCCGGGCUUAACUCGGAACGGUCAGCUGAUACUGCUUUGCUAGAGUGCAGAAGGGGCAAUCGGAAUUCUUGGUGUAGCGGUGAAAUGCGUAGAUAUCAAGAGGAACACCUGAGGUGAAGACGGGUUGCUGGGCCGACACUGACGCUGACAGCGCGAAAGCCAGGGGAGCAAACGGG
rnacentral:rRNA from 1 species